rnacentral:rRNA from 1 species
CCCUUAGAUGUCCUGGGCCGCACGCGCGCUACACUGAGUGUCUGAGAUACGAGUCUGCCUGGUCCGGCAAGGUCUAGGUAAUCUCUAAAAGACACAUCAUGCUUGGGAUAGAUUAUUGCAAAUAUUAAUCUUGAACGAGGAAUUCCUAGUAAGCGCAAGUCAACAGCUUGCGUUGAUUACGUCCCUGCCCUUUGUACACACCGCCCGUCGCUACUACUGAUUGGAUGUUUAAGCGAGGUUCUCGAACUGCUAGCGACUUAGCUUCGGUGAGGUCGCAGUGUGGGAAGUGAACCUAGCUUUGGUGUCUAGAGGAAGUAAAAGUCGUAACA